rnacentral:lncRNA from 1 species
GUAGGUUUAUUGCUUGUAGUAAUAUACAGCCUUGGCUCCACUUUGUGAGGCCGUUGCUCUCCCUCAGAGACAGAAUGCUACACUGAACAUCUAAGUAUUUUUAGCAGCGCUGUUCUCCUUCUCCAGUUAAGCCAUAAAAACCAAGGACACAGACAUUUGAAGCAUCUUUUCACAGUUUUGGAUAAUUUAGCAUCAGCCACAACCCAAUGGCUUGCAGCAUGCACCAGCCCAGGGAGUGCCAAGAGCAAACCACAGCCUAUGCUGUGAACACAAGCACCAGUCAUCCUUUCUCAUCCUGCAUAAGACUUAUAGAAUCAUGGAAUAUCCUCAGUUGGAAAGGACCCACAAGGAUCACCAAGGCAAACUCUCUGUGUGAGAGCCGUGUCCAAAUGCUCCUUGAGAUCGGGCAGCUCAGAGCUGCAGGCCGCCAUGAGACUGCAGGCCACCAAGAGGAAGAUGGAGGCUGCCAUGAGGACUCCCCUCAACCUCCUCUGGGACAGAAAGCAGUCUGCUGCGUUACUGGGAUGGCCAUGGGGUCAGGCACCGUUCCCUAGGAGCUCUGAUAGCCCCUCCAGCACUGAACAGGACAGGGAUUUUGCUAGUGGAAGCUUGCCAGGCUUCAGAAGGCACUCUUAGUAUCUCCUGGCUGAGGAACUGAGAGCAAUGUUCCAGCAGCUUAGUGAUGAUUCAAAUUUUCCUUUGAAGUGCCAAUGAGAUUAAAAUAAAAGGCUUUUUUUUUUUUUUUUUAAUCUUCAGAUUACCAGAAAAAUCAGGCUUAAUUCUGGUGGGAAACGGGAACAAAACCGCCUCUGUGGUGACCACAGCACAGCACUGUCACAUGAGGUGCAAACAGAUGACGUUGUGAAACUGAGAGGGCUUCGGAUUCAACCUUGCAGUUCCUCUGCUUGGCUGUGCUGGGGUUCAAGAGCUGGUGUGGGGCUUGUCCUGCCCAUCCUCUUGCCUCCCAGCAGAUCAGUGACGACAAAGCUCUCUGUACCUUACAGUCCCCUGCCAUUCUGUGGACUGGAAGGGACUUGGGAUCAAGGUCAUGUUCCAGCAUGGGAUAGAGCAUUCUGGAGGUCACCUUAUCUAGCUGCGGUGCGGAAUAAUACAAGUACGAGAGAAGGUCAUGAGAUAGGACCAGCAGUGGAAACAACAGGAGAUCGGUUUCUUUAGCCCUUUGUUCUGAGCUCAGCUUUAGCCAUCCAAGAUCUGACAAAAGUAGAGAUAUGGCAGCAAAGGUCCGGAGCACAAGUGUUAUGGGGAGCAGCUGAGGGAGCUGAGAUGGGUCAGUCUGGAGAAAAGGAGGCUCAGAGGAGAUCUCAAUACGAUGAGAGGUGAUGAUCUUAAGUUGCAUCAGGAAAGGUUCAGGGUGGAUAUUAGGAAAAACAACUUCUCUGAAGGAGCACUGAGGCACCGGCAUGGGCUGUCCAGGAAGGUGGUGGAGUCACCAUCUCUGGAGGUGUUUCAGAACGGCGGAGAUGUGGCACUGAGGGACAUGGUUUAGCGGGCAAUAUUGGUGGUAGGUUGAUGGUUGGACUUGAUGGUCUUAGAGGUCUUUUCCAACCUUAAUGAUUCUAUGAUUCUAUGAUGGAGAAUGAAAGCUGUAGUGCUAGCAUUAGCUUUGAACCAAGGAACGAGACAAAGUUUCUUCUGAGAUCGAAGUCUGACAUAUAUUUGUAAGGAAGCUGGACAUUAUUUUCCCAACACAUUUUAAAUUUUUUUCUUGUGGAAGGGAAGUCUUU